GAGGCCGGCCGGGUGGUCGCGGCGCAGCGCAGGCUGCGUCGAGGAAAGUCCGCACUCCACAGGGCAGGGAGCCGGGGAAAACCCGGGCGGGGGUAACCUCGCGCACAGGGCCACAGAAACAGACCGCCAGCGACCUGCGCUUCGCGCGCAGGUGCGGGCAAGGGUGAAAAGGUGGGGUAAGAGCCCACCGGCGCGUCGGGUAACCGGCGCGGCCAGGCAACCGCCUCCCGGAGCAAGGCCGAGCAGGGGCGAAGGCGGCUUGUCCGCCGGGGUGUGGCCCGCACCCCUGGAGCCCCGGGUAGGCCGCACCGCCUGCGGGCGGGCGCGUGGCACCCCCACGCGCAGACAGAUGACCACCCAGGCGGGCCGCGGGCGGGAAGACGCCAUGGCGUAAACCGUCCGCCCCGUCGGACAGAAUGCGGCUUACAGGCCGACCUUCUCU
rnacentral:RNase_P_RNA from 3 species